UUACUACUCCCUCCGUCCCAUAUUAAGGCCGAAAUAUUACAUGUAUCUAGACAUAUUUUAGUAUAUAGAUACGUUCAUAUUUAGACAAAUUUGAGUCACUUAAUAUGGGAGGAAGGGAGUAUAUU
rnacentral:pre_miRNA from 1 species